ACCCACCGAGGACCGCUAAAAGGCAUCGCCCUAUCGGCGUAUACUGAAGUAGGAGUGUAGAAGAGGAGCGUGCUCUGUGUCAUUUCUAACUAGAAACAUAUGUGGUUGGCUCAGCAGCGGCUGCACAACCCCCAAUGCCUGUCUGUCUUUUGCAAAUCAGUUUUGCGGUCCUUUCAGCGGUGCGACUGCGGUGCCGCUAUCACGGUACCAGCAGAGAGACACCUCAGAUCCCUUAUGGCUGCACGAUGGCAACGGUUCCUUCUACAGAAGGAGAGUUUCUAGAAAAGAAACAACUGCACUGUGGAAAUCGGUGGAAACUGCACCUCAGUUUAAUGUCAGUUUCUCUCAUUGGGUAGCAGUGCAGAAAAUGUAUUCAUGCUUGCAGCUUCCAGUGCUAUAUUUAGUAGGUGCUGCACACGUGCAUCAUAUUCCCCCCAGAGCCUGGCAGUGCCUCCCUCACCCCCAGCUUUCCCCUUCCAAUCUCAUAAUGGCCCUGCCUGACGGUAACGGCAGUUUCCUUUGUUCCUUGGCCCUGUCGGGACUGUAGCAGAGAAGCCAGAGGACAAAACCACCGUGCCACAUGGGCUGCAGAGCUGUCCGUUCCAGUGUGAUGCGUAGCACUGAACUUCACUCAGAAGCAGGUGGCUUCCUUUGCAUUGAACCGUAAGCGCGUGCUUCACAGAGCUAUGAACUUGUCUUACAAUGGGACCUAAUGUGAAGAAACUGUACAGCAAAGAGGCUUAUGAUGGGCAGAUAGAAGGAGAGAGAGGACCCCUGAGCUUCUCAGUCCUGUUAGAUACAGUUUUCCUCAACUCCCUGAAACCAAGGAGUUUUGUCAUCUACUGCUGCUCGUGACCCUCACAAGGUUCCAAAAGCGUAACAGCAAGGUAGGAAAAGCAUCCUUUGUACUUGGUGGAAUAGAGGGGUACCAAUGAAGAGUCAGACCUGAUUGUUUUGUGAUAUACAUAUGUAUGUAUGAACAGCCAGACUACUUCGGCUCCUCAUAAAUCUUCUGUGCUUUUGGUCUCUGGCAGACCAGUCAUGAGGUGCUGUUCCAUCGAUGGAAGUUUGAAAGCAUUAAGUUCAAGGAAGGAGGCCACCCAGAGCAAACGUCCCCCCCUCCAAUUCCGAAAGAGAAAAUAAAUUACUGAAGACCUUUAUAAAGAAAGGAUGCUGUUUUAUAGUAGGGCACUAUCCACGCAAAGCGACUUUUACUGCAACGAACUCCUGUUUCAGGCUCAAGGUGUCCAUAAGAAGCUAUUUCUGUAAUUUCUUCAAUAUUUACAUAUCUAAAAAUAAGCUGCUACUCUUACUCAUCACUGCUACCAUAUUUUGUCUGCUGACUGAUGGAGACUGAAAGAAAUUGAAGAGCGCUGCGUCAGGAAAGCUUUGCGGACUUACGGAUGGGGAAGAGAAGGCUACUGAACUUUUCCAUUCUCCCCUUCAAUCUAGACCUGAGGAAAACAGCAAAUGCUUCCCUCUCACACUGGUUUCUUUUUUAAAACCCUACAAUAAGAGCUUCACUCAAAUCCCUAUAUUGGGUCUUUGUAGCCUAGAAGACUGACCUGACCGAGGGACUUUGCCCAUAUGUACAUACAAGCAGCUCUUAGGGAAAGAUUUAGUGAAACCUCCCUGCCAAUACAGUUCUUUUCUAUUCUGACUCCCAAGGUAGCCAUAUCCUUUCCCCGGCUGACCUUCCUCCAUUUUAGGAGACACCCCCAAACUUGCAACCUGUCAGCACAAUGGGACUGCCAGCGUUACGGCCAGCCAAGAAUUAAGGGAACUCUUAAUGACUACUGUCAUGGAAGGGAUCAUUUAUUACAAGGCUGCUGGGUAUCUGAGCGGGACGCUGAACCCUACAAGGAAACACUAGCACUCAUUUACAAACAGAACUCAGCAUUUUUAUUCAUUGAUUGACUUCCUGCCAGUUUUUGUUUUUUUUUUCCUUUAAUAUUUGCUGUCACCAGAGAAGAGCGUAAAAACACAGUACAACAUUAUUAACCAGUUAGGAAGGCUGGAAGGGAAAGCAGAUCCCAGUACAAUUGCAAGUAACUUGGCAGAGUUGAUAAUUUAAGAUUUUUGAAUGGAUCAGCAAUGAAGCAAUAAAUAUGCUGCCGCACUGAACCAACAAGAGGGUUUUCACUAAAUUCGUGGUUUAUUGCAUUACAUUUUAUAACUGAACGUAUCCAUCAUCAUACAUUUGUUCACCAACAAGGCAAAUGACACUUUUUCAUACGUUGUGUACUAAAUGGCUAAAAUUAUGCAGUAGCUGAACCAGGCUAGAACUAGUAGAGGUAGAUAUUGAAUGGGCAGUGCCAGGCAGAAAUAUGUUGUUGAAGUACUUUUUGCCUUUUGUUAUGAACAAUUAGCAGACGUAACAUUUUCAAUUAAAACAACAAACAUCUUAGGAAAGCUACUCUAAGAUGCUUUGAAUUUUCUAGUGAUAUUUAUCUUGGAAUACUCAUUGUUAUGGUCCCUCGCAAACUGGACAACCUUUAACCUCUGGGUUUUCUGCCGUGAUUUACCUGGAGACCAACAUACAAAGCUAGAAUCUUUGUGAACAUGCUACUCUUUGCUUGUACCACUCUAGAAGUAAUAUAUAUGUACAGCUUCCAGGACACAGGAGACUGCAUUUAUAUUAUUUACAGUUUCGGCAAUCAUUCUAGCAACAAAAAAAAGCCUACUCUGAUGCUUAAUCUAAAACAGAAUUUCUAUUACGCUGCCUCCUCAUAACUCCCUUCAGUCUCCUUUUGCCAAGAUGCCGUAUCAGUUUCUCUUGGCCACUCUCACUGCUGGCUGUGUGCUCCAACAAAGAGUCUGCCCCAAAACAGGCAGUGAAACUGGCACGUGCAGCUUAAAAUUCCAGGAAGAAUCACAAUAACACGAUCAUGAUUUUAGUAAAAAUGUACACUCUUUGCUCCUCCAACCAUCAAAGAGCGGCUCGUAACCAGAACGCUCCUUGAAGCAAUGGUCUUUCCCAGCCUCAGCAACCAUCUUCCUCCACCUGGAACAGCAUUCACUACUACCACACUUACAGGCUGUUCCAUUCCUCCCUGACACUGCCGUCUGAUUAGACUAUAUUUGCAUCACGUCUUCCACAGCAUCCCAAAGCGGUAGGUCAGGCUGUUACGAGACAAGCACAACUUCUACUUCCAUAUAGUAGGAGCUAUUUUACAUUAUCCAUCAGGUACAAACUGCUUUUAGAGCAAACUUCCUUGAGGGGGAAGAUGGGGGAAAGAUUUCAAAGCUAGCUAGCUGCCAGUACAGAACACUUAAAAACAUUUAAAGCGAUUACGAAAAGGGGAAGAAGUAUUUUUUUUUUUACUCGGGUAUAUUGAGCUGGAUUACCU